GAAGGCAAAUGAUGUAAUAAUCUUAUCCUACACACUGAAUUAUAUAUGUGGACUACAAUCUCUGUUUAUUAUCUGAUGCCUUC
rnacentral:snoRNA from 1 species